rnacentral:rRNA from 1 species
CCUACGGGUGGCAGCAGUGAGGAAUAUUGGUCAAUGGGCGGGAGCCUGAACCAGCCAAGUCGCGUGAGGGACGACGGUCCUAUGGAUUGUAAACCUCUUUUGUCGGGGAACAAAGGCGCCCACGGGUGGGCGGAUGAGUGUACCCGACGAAAAAGCAUCGGCUAACUCCGUGCCAGCAGCCGCGGUAAUACGUAGGGGGCAAGCGUUAUCCGGAUUUACUGGGUGUAAAGGGAGCGUAGACGGCAGCGCAAGUCUGAAGUGAAAUGCCGGGGCUUAACCCCGGAACUGCUUUGGAAACUGUGCAGCGAGAGUGCAGGAGAGGUAAGUGGAAUUCCUAGUGUAGCGGUGAAAUGCGUAGAUAUUAGGAGGAACACCAGUGGCGAAGGCGGCUUACUGGACUGUAACUGACGUUGAGGCUCGAAAGCGUGGGGAGCAAACAGGAUUAGAUACCCCAGUAGUC